GACGAACACUGGCGGCGUGCUUAACACAUGCAAGUCGAACGGAAAGGCCCUGCUUUUGUGGGGUGCUCGAGUGGCGAACGGGUGAGUAACACGUGAGUAACCUGCCCUUGACUUUGGGAUAACUUCAGGAAACUGGGGCUAAUACCGGAUAGGAGCUCCUGCUGCAUGGUGGGGGUUGGAAAGUUUCGGCGGUUGGGGAUGGACUCGCGGCUUAUCAGCUUGUUGGUGGGGUAGUGGCUUACCAAGGCUUUGACGGGUAGCCGGCCUGAGAGGGUGACCGGCCACAUGGGGCAGGAGAGAGGGCCCGGGCCCCUCCGGGGGGGAGGAGGGGGGAAUGUGGCACAAAGGGGGGAGGCGUGAUGGAGCAACGCGGGGUGGGGGAGGGCGGCCUUCGGGUGGGAAACCGCUUUCGCCUGUAAGGGAGCGGGGGGGACGGUAAGGGGUAAAAAAGCACCGGCAAACUACGG
rnacentral:rRNA from 1 species